rnacentral:lncRNA from 1 species
GGCCAUGGUGGGUGCUCCUGAGCCUGGAAAAGAAGAGGAGGAGAGAGCCUUGUCUUCCAAAGGGGGAAAUGCACCAUGUGGAGUACUGGGGACCUGCUCAGUUUUCCAGCCAGAGAUCACCAAACUUUGCUGUGCUUCCCAAACUCCAGAUCCUAAAAAUCCCUUGGGACCUUGCACCUUGAUCCUCUGCACCCAGAACUGUGUCUCCCAGCCGUGCUCCAGAGAUUUCUGUCCUAUCGUCCUGUCCUGGAGGUGAGCACCCUGGUCUCCUGCUCUUUCUACUCUGACUUCCGGUUGUGCUGUGUGAAUCCCAGCCAACUACUCUUGGAUGCUUCUCAGCUUGUGUCUACCCCUCAGCAUCCUGGAGCUCAGCCACCAUGCUUUCUCCUAGUCCAGCCUGGCCUCCUGCACAAGCAAUGAACAGUCACAAACACCCAGAAACAUCAUCAAACAGCCCAGAAGUUCCUUUGGUAUAAUCAGAUCAUCUGAGAUUCCAAAGACUUCCUGGUGACCCAGAGUUAUUAGAUCAAAAAGAAGGGAAAAUAUUGAAAAGAAGAAAUGAAGGGAAGAACAACAGUUAAUGA